GCAUUGGUGGUUCAGUGGUAGAAUUCUCGCCUGCCACAUGGGAGACCCGGGUCCGAUUCCCGGCCAAUGUA
rnacentral:tRNA from 1 species